rnacentral:ncRNA from 1 species
AUACAAACAGUGAUAAAGAGGAGUAAAGAUAGGAAGAACUUUAAGAGAGGAAAUCCUUGGGUGUAAGAUUUCUAAGUUUGAUAUCUUGAAGGUAGCUUUUGAGUUUCUUUGGUGAAAGUAUUAAAGUAAUCAAAGACGGCAAUUUCAGUCGUUAAUUUUAGAGAGCCCUUUUGGUGAGGGAAAAAAGGUGGUACCGCGAGUUUUCGUCCUUUUA